rnacentral:rRNA from 1 species
AAAACUUUCAACAACGGAUCUCUUGGCUCUGGCAUCGAUGAAGAACGCAGCGAAAUGCGAUAAGUAGUGUGAAUUGCAGAAUUCAGUGAAUCAUCGAAUCUUUGAACGCACAUUGCGCCCAUUAGUAUUCUAGUGGGCAUGCCUGUUCGAGCGUCAUUUCAACCCUCAAGCCUUAGUUGCUUGGUGUUGGGAGAUUAUCUUGCCGAAAGGCGGGACAACUCCCUAAAUUUAUCGGCGGAGUCGCGGCGAUCCUAAGCGUAGUAAUUUUUAUUCCCUCGCUUUAGGUGUCGACGCUGGCCUCUAGCCGCUAAACCCCCUAAUUUUUUAGUGGUUGACCUCGGAUCAGGUAGGACUACCCGCUGAACUUAAGCAUAUCAAUAAGCGGAGGAAAAGAAACCAACAGGGAUUGCCCUAGUAACGGCGAGUGAAGCGGCAACAGCUCAAAUUUGAAAUCUGGCUCUCGGGCCCGAGUUGUAAUUUGUAGAGGAUACUUUUGAUGCGGUGCCUUCCGAGUUCCCUGGAACGGGACGCCAUAGAGGGUGAGAGCCCCGUCUGGUUGGAUGCCAAAUCUCUGUAAAGUUCCUUCAACGAGUCGAGUAGUUUGGGAAUGCUGCUCUAAAUGGGAGGUAUAUGUCUUCUAAAGCUAAAUACCGGCCAGAGACCGAUAGCGCACAAGUAGAGUGAUCGAAAGAUGAAAAGCACUUUGAAAAGAGAGUUAAAAAGUACGUGAAAUUGUUGAAAGGGAAGCGUUUAUGACCAGACUUGGGCUUGGUUAAUCAUCUGGGGUUCUCCCCAGUGCACUUUUCCAGUCCAGGCCAGCAUCAGUUUUCCCCGGGGGAUAAAGGCGGCGGGAAUGUGGCUCUCUUCGGGGAGUGUUAUAGCCCACCGUGUAAUACCCUGGGGGGGACUGAGGUUCGCGCAUCUGCAAGGAUGCUGGCGUAAUGGUCAUCAACGACCCGUCUUGAAACACGGACC